rnacentral:rRNA from 2 species
UCCUGGCUCAGGAUGAAUCGCGGGCGGCGUGCCUAAUACAUGCAAGUCGAACGAGUUCUGAUUAUUGAAAGGUGCUUGCAUCUUGAUUUAAUUUUGAACGAGUGGCGGACGGGUGAGUAACACGUGGGUAACCUGCCCUUAAGUGGGGGAUAACAUUUGGAAACAGAUGCUAAUACCGCAUAAAUCCAAGAACCGCAUGGUUCUUGGCUGAAAGAUGGCGUAAGCUAUCGCUUUUGGAUGGACCCGCGGCGUAUUAGCUAGUUGGUGAGGUAACGGCUCACCAAGGCAAUGAUACGUAGCCGAACUGAGAGGUUGAUCGGCCACAUUGGGACUGAGACACGGCCCAAACUCCUACGGGAGGCAGCAGUAGGGAAUCUUCCACAAUGGACGCAAGUCUGAUGGAGCAACGCCGCGUGAGUGAAGAAGGCUUUCGGGUCGUAAAACUCUGUUGUUGGAGAAGAAUGGUCGGCAGAGUAACUGU